CUCGGAAGGUCGCGCGGACGGACGCCUCGCCAACCCGGUCAGGUCCGGAAGGAAGCAGCCGCAACGAGUUCUCGUUCGGGUCGUGUCGGCCUUCCACCUCU
rnacentral:SRP_RNA from 1 species